UGACCUACUAAGCAAACAUCCUGAUGGCACC
rnacentral:piRNA from 1 species